rnacentral:SRP_RNA from 1 species
GGGCAGGUCUGGCGCGGCGAAACUUUAUAAACCCCGCCAGGACCGAAAGGUAGCAACGGUAAGUAAACGUAUUCGGGUGCCGCCAGUCACCUGCUCAGA